AAGUCAAGCAGUGAAAAAUACCCCUUCAAAAUCAGCCACAUAAGCUUGCCAGCAAAUCCAGGCUUUCGGAA
rnacentral:lncRNA from 1 species